GUGAGCAAAGUGAACCAUGCUCUGAUACCACCUUAGUUGUAACAACCCCGCUCCAGAAUAAGUAAAAGUUAAUUAGUUUGCCAUCCACCAAUCAAACAAGAACAUGCAUGACGAACUAAAGAACUCUAACCAGGUCGAAGAUACUACUACCACGUGCCCAAACAUUUGACCCGAGGUUCCCGGAUCAGAUCCGAAAUCCCAAGAUAAUAUGUCCAAGAACG
rnacentral:lncRNA from 1 species